GCUCAACCGAGGAAGUGCUUCGAAAACUGGUAAACUUGAGUGCAGAAGAGGAAAGUGGAACUCCAUGUGUAGCGGUGGAAUGCGUAGAUAUAUGGAAGAACACCAGUGGCGAAGGCGGCUUUCUGGUCUGUAACUGACGCUGAGAUUCGAAAGCAUGGGUAGCAAACAGGAUUAGAUACCCUGGUAGUCCAUGCCGUAAACGAUGAGUGCUAAGUGUUGGAGGGUUUCCGCCCUUCAGUGCUGCAGCUAACGCAUUAAGCACUCCGCCUGGGGAGUACGAUCGCAAGAUUGAAACUCAAAGGAAUUGACGGGGGCCCGCACAAGCGGUGGAGCAUGUGGUUUAAUUCGAAGCAACGCGAAGAACCUUACCAGGUCUUGACAUACCAUGAAAAGCUAAGAGAUUAGUCUUUCCCUUCGGGGACAUGGAUACAGGUGGUGCAUGGUUGUCGUCAGCUCGUGUCGUGAGAUGUUGGGUUAAGUCCCGCAACGAGCGCAACCCUUAUUAUCAGUUGCCAGCAUUCAGUUGGGCACUCUGGUGAGACUGCCGGUGACAAACCGGAGGAAGGUGGGGACGGCGCCAAAUCAUCAUGCCCCUUAUGACCUGGGCUACACACGUGCUACAAUGGUCGGUACAACG
rnacentral:rRNA from 1 species